UCUGUUCAGAGUGUGGUCAAAGAUUUGGGCAAAAGAGCCACCUGAACAGACACAUGAUAAUUCAUACAGGACAAAAAGCAUUCAUCUGUUCUGAGUGUGGUCAACGAUUUGGGCGAAAGGGCAACCUCAACACACACAUGAUAAUUCAUACAGGACAAAAUCCAUUUGUCUGUUCCGAGUGUGGUCAAACAUUUGGACAAAGGAGCAGCCUGAACACACACAUGAUAACUCAUACAGGGCAAAAAGCAUUUGGCUGUUCUGAGUGUGGUCAA